rnacentral:rRNA from 1 species
UACGUAGGGGGCAAGCGUUGUCCGGAAUUAUUGGGCGUAAAGAGCGUGUAGGCGGCCAGAUAAGUCCGCUGUGAAAUCUCGAGGCUCAACUUCGAGCUGUCGGUGGAAACUAUCUGGCUAGAGUCCGGAAGAGGAGAAUGGAAUUCCUGGUGUAGCGGUGAAAUGCGCAGAUAUCAGGAGGAACACCAGUGGCGAAGGCGGCUCGUGGGCCGUACUGACUGAC